rnacentral:rRNA from 1 species
AGACGACAGAAGCGAAAGAAUGUGUUUUCAUCAAUCAAGAACGAAAGUUAGAGGCUCGAAGGCGAUCAGAUACCGCCCUAGUUCUAACCAUAAACGAUGCCAGCUAGCGAUCCGCCGAAGUUCCUCCGAUGACUCGGCGGGCAGCUUCCGGGAAACCAAAGCUUUUGGGUUCCGGGGGAAGUAUGGUUGCAAAGCUGAAACUUAAAGGAAUUGACGGAAGGGCACCACCAGGAGUGGAGCCUGCGGCUUAAUUUGACUCAACACGGGUAACCUCACCAGGCCCGGACACCGGAAGGAUUGACAGAUUGAGAGCUCUUUCUUGAUUCGGUGGGUGGUGGUGCAUGGCCGUUCUUAGUUGGUGGAGCGAUUUGUCAGGUUAAUUCCGAUAACGAACGAGACUCUAGCCUGCUAAAUAGGCGUACUUUCCGGUAUCUCGAAGGCCCGCCGGUCGGCUUCGGUCCGUGUGGGUUUCACUACCGGCGUACACAUAUAUCUUCUUAGAGGGACAGGUGGCGUUUAGUCGCACGAAAUUGAGCAAUAACAGGUCAGUGAUGCCCUUAGAUGUUCUGGGCCGCACGCGCGCUACACUGAAGGGAUCAGCAGGUUUUCCUUGGCCGAAAGGUCCGGGUAAUCCGUUGAAGCCCCUUCGUGCUAGGGAUUGGGGCUUGCAAUUCUUCCCCAUGAACGAGGAAUUCCCAGUAAGCGCGAGUCAUAAGCUUGCGUUGAUUACGUCCCUGCCCUUUGUACACACCGCCCGUCGCUACUACCGAUUGAGUGAUUUAGUGAGGUCUUCGGACCGGUGCGCGGCAUUGCCGAUGUUGCUGGGAAGAUGACCAAAUUUGAUUGCUGGAAGUAAAAGUCGUAAC